rnacentral:rRNA from 1 species
AGUGAACGCUGGCGGUAGGCCUAAUACAUGCAAGUCGAACGGCAGCACAGUAAGAGCUUGCUCUUACGGGUGGCGAGUGGCGGGCGGGUGAGGAAUACAUCGGAAUCUACUUUUUCGUGGGGGAUAACGUAGGGACACUUACGCUAAUACCUCAUAUGACCUACGGGUGAAAUCAGGGGAUCUUCGGACCUUGCGCGACUGAAUGAGCCGAUGUCGGAUUAGCUAGUUGGCGGGGUAAAGGCCCACCAAGGCAACGAUCCGUAGCUGGUCUGAGAGGAUGAUCAGCCACACUGGAACUGAGACACGGUCCAGACUCCUACGGGAGGCAGCAGUAGGGAAUAUUGGGCAAUGGGCGCAAGCCUGAUGCAGCCAUGCCGCGUGAGUGAAGAAGGCCUUCGGGUUGUAAAACCCUUUUGUUGGGAAAGAAAAACAGCAGGUUAAUACCCCGCUGUUCUGACGGUACCCAAAGAAUAAGCACCGGCUAACUUCGUG